AGUGAACGCUGGCGGCGUGCUUAACACAUGCAAGUCGAACGGGUUUAAGGAGCUUGCUUCUUAAAUUAGUGGCGCACGGGUGAGUAAUGUAUAGCUAACCUGCCCUUUAGUGGGGGACAACAGUUGGAAACGACUGCUAAUACCCCAUAUUCCUGUUUAUCACAAGGUACACAGGGAAAGAUUUAUUGCUAAAGGAUGGGGCUUUAUGGUAUCAGCUAGUUGGUGGGGUAACGGCCUACCAAGGCAAUGACGCCUACCUGGUCUGAGAGGAUGAUCAGGCACACUGGAACUGAGACACGGUCCAGACUCCUACGGGAGGCAGCAGUGGGGAAUAUUGCACAAUGGGGGAAACCCUGAUGCAGCAACGCCGCGUGGAGGAUGACGCAUUUCGGUGUGUAAACUCCUUUUAUAAGGGAAGAUAAUGACGGUACCUUAUGAAUAAGCACCGGCUAACUCCGUGCCAGCAGCGGCGGUAAAACGUAGCGUG
rnacentral:rRNA from 1 species